rnacentral:rRNA from 1 species
AUGUUACUGUUACGAUUGCUACAAAACCGCUACUGUUACUUUUGCCAUUGUUACCGCUAUUUCCAUACUAUUUUGCUACUAAAUAUUUUGCUGCAGAUAUUAAGUCUUUCAGGUGUGGUUGAAUUGACAACUCAGCUGGUAAUACUUGAGAAUAUUCUUUGGCUUCCCUUGUGUCGAGUCAAUAAAUUUGGGUUGAAUACUCUAUCCUCGAAAACUGUUGCGAUCCCCUAUACUUGUGGGUUAUCAGAGUUCUACAUGGCGGAGGUCUGGACUCCCACAAACCUCCAUCCGGCGUGUGAAAAUUCGAACACGUGGACAACACCGCGUUGA